rnacentral:rRNA from 1 species
GAUGAACGCUAGCGGGAGGCCUAACACAUGCAAGCCGAGCGGUAGAGAUCUUUCGGGAUCUUGAGAGCGGCGUACGGGUGCGGAACACGUGUGCAACCUGCCUUUAUCUGGGGGAUAGCGUUUCGAAAGGAAGAUUAAUACCCCAUAAUAUAUUGAUUCGCAUGGAUUGAUAUUGAAAACUCCGGUGGAUAGAGAUGGGCACGCGCAAGAUUAGAUAGUUGGUGAGGUAACGGCUCACCAAGUCAGUGAUCUUUAGGGGGCGUGAGAGGGUGAUCCCCCACACUGGUACUGAGACACGGACCAGACUCCUACGGGAGGCAGCAGUGAGGAAUAUUGGACAAUGGGUGAGAGCCUGAUCCAGCCAUCCCGCGUGAAGGACGACGGUUCUAUGGAUUGUAAACUUCUUUUAUAUAGGGAUAAACCUACUUACGUGUAAGUAGCUGAAGGUACUAUAUGAAUAAGCACCGGCUAACUCCGUGCCAGCAGCCGCCGUAA